AAAAUGCCAGCGAUGAUGGAGAACAGUCACCCUGACGACAAGAGCAGCCUUGUUGAAGAGAAGAUGCCAGACAAUGGAAUAUCCACUCCCAGGGGAGAGUCUGAAAGACUGAGGUGUGUUGGAGCCUCCUGGUAUGAAAAUGAAUGUUCCACAUGCCAUUUCAAGACUGAAGCAUGGAUGAUGGAUACAUGGAUGUGUCUCAAGACUGAAAAAAAAAAAAAAUCAACAUGGAAACACUGUCGGAAGCAACAGAAUGGAUUGGAAAGAACUGUUUUGGGUUACAGUCUGAGAUGGGAGGUUUGUGUUUUGAGUCACUGCUGGACCCCAGGAUGCACCUUGCAGGUUAAAUAACAGUCCUGGCAAACACCUCUUUCUUUGGCCAGACAAGCACAACCACUUAUUCCGGCUGGAGAGGCUGUGGCAGGUGUCUUGCCCUUUGGCUAUGUGCAGAUUAAGUUCCAGGUGGAUGCUGGGCCCUCUACCUGAAGCUACCCCCAUGGUUAUUCAGCUCUAAGAGCUACUGCUGAAUGCUGCUCUCUGACAAAGCAGGACUGCAUGAAACCAGCUGAGUUCAGUGCUUGCAGGAGCUAUUUACCUGUGGAUGAUAUUCACAGUACUGUAUUUCAAUGGCAGAGGAAGUAGCGAAUAAAAAAUCAUGUUUA